UACACCAAUCUGCACUUGUCUGGAUGGUUAUCAGGGUGAUGCGUUUACCAGUUGUCAACUCAUUCCGCCUCAACAAGUACCACUCCAAGAAGACCCUUGCAAUCCUAAUCCUUGUGGAUCGAAUGCAGUGUGCAACAAUGGCGUUUGCUCUUGUA